rnacentral:piRNA from 1 species
UGCUUACUGGUACUUUUUACUUUUGAAUAAG